rnacentral:rRNA from 1 species
UACGUAGGUGACAAGCGUUGUCCGGAUUUACUGGGCGUAAAGAGCGCGCAGGCGGUCGUUCAAGUCGAGUGUGAAAGCCCCCGGCUCAACUGGGGAGGGUCAUUCGAUACUGAUCGACUCGAAGGCAGGAGAGGGUAGUGGAAUUCCCGGUGUAGUGGUGAAAUGCGUAGAUAUCGGGAGGAACACCAGUGGCGAAGGCGACUACCUGGCCUGUUCUUGACGCUGAGGCGCGAAAGCUAGGGGAGCAACGGGG